AGUGAACGCUGGCGGUAGGCCUAACACAUGCAAGUCGAACGGGUGUAGCAAUACAUCAGUGGCAGACGGGUGAGUAACACGUGGGAACCUUCCUAGGGGUACGGAACAACUCAGGGAAACUUGAGCUAGUACCGUAUACGUCCGUGAGGAGAAAGAUUUAUCGCCCUUAGACGGGCCCGCGUCGGAUUAGGUAGUUGGUGGGGUAACGGCCUACCAAGCCGACGAUCCGUAGCUGAUCUGAGAGGAUGAUCAGCCACACUGGGACUGAGACACGGCCCAGACUCCUACGGGAGGCAGCAGUGGGGAAUCUUGGACAAUGGGCGCAAGCCUGAUCCAGCCAUGCCGCGUGAGUGAAGAAGGCCUUAGGGUUGUAAAGCUCUUUUACCAGGGACGAUAAUGACGGUACCUGGAGAAUAAGCCCCGGCAAACUUCGUGCCAGCCGCCGCCGUAA
rnacentral:rRNA from 1 species